rnacentral:lncRNA from 1 species
AACAAGUAGUUCGGGCUAGGCUGGAUCAACAGGAUUCUGUCAACAACAACAUUCAAAACAUGUUAUCCCAACUGCUCCAAAGGAUGCCUCCACCCUUAAACCCUUAGGCACCUAGGCUAAUUGUUUGUUGCUUUCUCUAUUUUGAUAUUUCUUUUGAUAUCUGCCUUCUGUGUUGCUUAUCUGUAACUUCUCUUUUUAUCAAUAUCAACCUUUUUU